GAAGGACGGGACUAACGCCGAUAUGCUUCGGGGAGCUGUAAGUAAGCUUUGAUCCGAAGAUUUCCGAAUGGGGAAACCCACCAUACGUAAUGGUAUGGUAUCCUUAUCUGAAUACAUAGGAUAAGGAAGACAGACCCAGGGAACUGAAACAUCUAAGUACCUGGAGGAAGAGAAAGCAAAUGCGAUUUCCUGAGUAGCGGCGAGCGAAACGGAACAUAGCCCAAACCAAGAGGCUUGCCUC
rnacentral:rRNA from 1 species